UUGCGCAAUUCAUUGUCAUGCUCUUUCUCUGUAAGAGUUUUGAUAUUUCUGUUGUGCAAGAUAAACGCUGGAGGUAAAUUAGCAGAAUGGCAAUUUGGUGCCACCUCUGCCAGUCCCCUUCACACAUUU